GACAGCAGCCGCCACGGGAAUACGGAGGGGGCUAGCGUUGUUCGGAAUUACUGGGCGUAAAGCGCACGUAGGCGGCUUGGUAAGUUAGAGGUGAAAGCCUGGAGCUCAACUCCAGAAUUGCCUUUAAGACUGCCGAGCUAGCAGGUGAGAGAGGUAAGUGGGAUUCCGAGUGUAGAGGUGAAAUUCGUAGAUAUUCGGAAGAACACCAGUGGCGAAGGCGGCUUACUGGCUCAUACUGGACGCUGAGAUGCGAAAGCGUGGGGAGCAAACAGGAUUAGAUACCCCUGUAGUCCCUGUCUCUUAUAC
rnacentral:rRNA from 1 species